GUUGUUGAUUAGUUGGAAUAAACAGCUUUGAUUGUGUGAACUUCUCUUCUGUGUUCUAAUUCUCAUUUUCGAAGCUAACACAGUCGCAGGUGUUUACAAAAAUCUGGGUUGUUUUGGAAGUGGUGAAACAAUGGCAUGAUCUCCUUUUGCUAAUUUGAGUAGAGGCACAUGAAAAGUUGGAUGCAUUUGUGCAUCAAGUAAAUCAAGCCGGGCCUGGAAGGAGGUAAAGACGAUGGUACUUGAAAAACAACCCCAAAUGAAUUCAAUAAGGUAUCAAUAACUUCAUGAUUACCUGUGUAAUGAAAAAAAGUCUUAUGUUGAUACUGUCCUUCAUUCCCUUCUAUUUUUGAACUAAACAACUGGCUGUGAACUGCCUGACUAUCUUGAUUAAGAACGUCAUUCAUAGUUCUCGUUGAACAUAAA